UGGGGAAUUUUGCACAAUGGGGGAAACCCUGAUGCAGCGACGCCGCGUGAUUUAGAAGGCCUUCGGGUUGUAAAAAUCUUUUCUAUGGGAAGAAAAUGACAGUACCAUAGGAAUAAGGACCGGCUAAUUACGUGCCAGCAGCCGCGGUAAUACGUAAGGUCCGAGCGUUGUCCGGAAUCAUUGGGCGUAAAGGGUACGUAGGCGGGUAAGCAAGUUAGAAGUGAAAUCCUAUAGCUCAACUAUAGUAAGCUUUUAAAACUGCUCAUCUUGAGGUAUGGAAGGGAAAGUGGAAUUCCUAGUGUAGCGGUGAAAUGCGCAGAUAUUAGGAGGAAUACCGGUGGCGAAGGCGACUUUCUGGCCAUAACCUGACGCUGAGGUACGGAAGCGUGGGUAGCAAACAGG
rnacentral:rRNA from 1 species